UAUAUACCUAGCCGCAGCUCGCAGAGGAUGAAGAGAGGAAGAAGAAAGCGACAAGCCAGCACAGCAUGGAAUAUUCGGGUUGGAACGGCCAAUUCCUAAUCUUAUCCGAUUCCUCGACCUCUUCUUAAGGCCUCACAUGGAGACGAACCCUGCUACUCCUCUGCUAGAUUCGCCUGCUACCUCCAGCAAGAUUCGCCCUUCUUCAGCCUCGAGAUCACUGAGGUACAUCCGGACGGGAGAUUCGUCCUCUUGCAGAGAUUCGUCCUCGUGAAAGAGUGGGUUUUUACCUCACCCUGGAAGAGUAUACAAAAGUCGCAAAAUCAAAGGUGUUCUACCCCAGAUCUUCCUUAGUAAUCGAUCACUGAAACUCAGGCUGUCUAGUUGAAAGUUCGGCUCCUUCAUCCACAAGUGAUUAUCUACUCUGCAAGGUACGAUCUCAGGUCUCCCCCAUAUUUCUGAAAUCCUAGCAAAGUUCUCUUCGAAAUGUCUAGGAUCUGCUUCAACAGACGGUUUUGAUGCAGCGUCCAAGAAAAUCUAUCCUUUUUUCUAGAUGCAUCGAUUAUUUUAAAUUAUGAAAUUUGUAAGAUCUAGAAUGCAUCUACCAUCCCAUAUCUGUUUCUCUAUCUGGAAUGCAUCUAUCUCGCCUUCCUCUUAUUAGCUGGUUUGGCCGUUUUCUUCUUCUUCCUGAAAUAGAAAAACAAUUUAGCUUCAAAAUCUUUUUCUUCUUUCUCGUUCUGUUUCAGUUAUUUUUUUAUAGUUUUUCCUCGUUCUCGAAGCAUGUUCGGUAUUUGCAGAGGCUUGACAUGCAGAUUGCUUGAUGGGUUACCCCUCUUUCUUUUUCCCUAUCUCUCCGUUUCGGAUAUUAUCUUUACAGAUAUUGGCAAGGUUAUUGGUGUAUUAGAAGCUUACAAGUUGUAUUUGUAUUGGGAAGUUUUGUUUUAUCCAGGGAUAUAAUUGAAGGCCAUGGGUUGUUCUUUGGGUUUAUCUUUCUUCCUCUGUAGAUUCCUUUCUGAGCAUUCUUGUUCUUACUGUUAUCUCUGUAGUGUUUAUUGUCAGCGAGCAUUUAUUUUCAGUUAUCCUUCUAACGUCUUCGUCUUGUUCUUGUA